UACAUGAAGCCGGAAUCGCUAGUAAUCGCGGAUCAGAAUGCCGCGGUGAAUACGUUCCCGGGUCUUGUACACACCGCCCGUCACACCAUGGGAGCCGGUAAUGCCCGAAGUCUGUGGCCCAACCGAAAGGAAGGAGCAGCCGAAGGCAGGCCCGGUGACUGGGGUGAAGUCGUAACAAGGUACC
rnacentral:rRNA from 1 species